CUGCCAUAGCAACUGCGUUGGAGAAGCGGAAGUGACCUCAAUAAUGGACUUUGUGUGCUCUAUAACUAUUGAAGGAUAAAGGUUCACAGUUUCCAUUCGACAUGUACCUACAGAAGGACCGGGAGGAUAUGUCUGAACAUGCGUUGGACUGACAGUUAGUCCAGGACCAUUCGGGAGAAAUGAUUAAACUCCUGGUUGGGAAGUUCUACGUCUGAUUGGAUCCACACCAACUUCUCUAGGAUUAAUAAAAACCAGUGAACCAA